rnacentral:rRNA from 1 species
GAAGCGUGCGAUUGGAUUGCACGUCUAAGCAGUAAGGCUGAGUAUUAGGCAAAUCCGGUACUCGUUAAGGCUGAGCUGUGAUGGGGAGAAGACAUUGUGUCUUCGAGUCGUUGAUUUCACACUGCCGAGAAAAGCCUCUAGAUAGAAAAUAGGUGCCCGUACCGCAAACCGACACAGGUAGUCAAGAUGAGAAUUCUAAGGUGAGCGAGCGAACUCUCGUUAAGGAACUCGGCAAAAUGACCCCGUAACUUCGGGAGAAGGGGUGCUCUUUAGGGUUAACGCCCAGAAGAGCCGCAGUGAAUAGGCCCAAGCGACUGUUUAUCAAAAACACAGGUCUCUGCUAAACCGUAAGGUGAUGUAUAGGGGCUGACGCCUGCCCGGUGCUGGAAGGUUAAGAGGAGUGGUUAGCUUCUGCGAAGCUACGAAUCGAAGCCCCAGUAAACGGCGGCCGUAACUAUAACGGUCCUAAGGUAGCGAAAUUCCUUGUCGGGUAAGUUCCGACCCGCACGAAAGGCGUAACGAUUUGGGCACUGUCUCAACGAGAGACUCGGUGAAAUCAUAGUACCUGUGAAGAUGCAGGUUACCCGCGACAGGACGGAAAGACCCCGUGGAGCUUUACUGUAGCCUGAUAUUGAAAUUCGGCACAGCUUGUACAGGAUAGGUAGGAGCCUUUGAAACGUGAGCGCUAGCUUACGUGGAGGCGCUGGUGGG